CCCCGGUAAACGGCGGCCGUAACUAUAACGGUCCUAAGGUAGCGAAAUUCCUUGUCGGGUAAGUUCCGACCUGCACGAAUGGCGUAAUGAUGGCCAGGCUGUCUCCACCCGAGACUCAGUGAAAUUGAACUCGCUGUGAAGAUGCAGUGUACCCGCGGCAAGACGGAAAGACCCCGUGAACCUUUACUAUAGCUUGACACUGAACAUUGAGCCUUGAUGUGUAGGAUAGGUGGGAGGCUUUGAAGUGUGGACGCCAGUCUGCAUGGAGCCGACCUUGAAAUACCACCCUUUAAUGUUUGAUGUUCUAACGUGGACCCGUAAUCCGGGUUGCGGACAGUGUCUGGUGGGUAGUUUGACUGGGGCGGUCUCCUCCUAAAGAGUAACGGAGGAGCACGAAGGUUGGCUAAUCCUGGUCGGACAUCAGGAGGUUAGUGCAAUGGCAUAAGCCAGCUUGACUGCGAGCGUGACGGCGCGAGCAGGUGCGAAAGCAGGUCAUAGUGAUCCGGUGGUUCUGAAUGGAAGGGC
rnacentral:rRNA from 1 species